rnacentral:rRNA from 1 species
ACGAGCACGCGCGUGUGGCAUAUCAAUAAGCGGAGGAAAAGAAACUAACAAGGAUUCCCUUAGUAACGGCGAGUGAAGCGGGAAGAGCUCAAAUUUGAAAUCUUCAAGGUUCUACCUUGACGAAUUGUAGUUUAUAGAAGUGUUUUCUGUUAGUGGAGUGGCAAAAGUUCUUUGGAAUAGGACAUCAUAGAGGGUGAGAAUCCCGUAUUCGGUCAUUCCUCCUAGCGUUGUGAUACACUUUCAACGAGUCGGAUUGUUUGGGAAUGCAGUCCAAAAUGGGUGGUAAAUUUCAUCUAAAGCUAAAUAUUGGCGAGAGACCGAUAGCGAACAAGUACCGUGAGGGAAAGAUGAAAAGAACUUUGAAAAGAGAGUUAAACAGUACGUGAAAUUGUCAAAAGGGAAGCGUUUGACACCAGUGUUGUUUUUCCGAAAAUCAAUUACGAAUGUUUUAUUUUUGAGGAGUUAUGACUUCAUCGGCUUGCUCCUUUCUUUAUGAAACUUUCUUAAUGCACUUUUCGGUUAACAAGUCAACAUCAAUUUCUUUUGUUGUAAAAGGGUAUGAGGAAGGUGGCUUUCUUUUCGGAGAAAGUGUUUAUAGCCUUGUGCCUCUGCAAUCGGAGAGAUUGAGGUCUGCAGCGUAGAUCCUUCGGGGUUAGAUACGUUUGUGCUAAGUUAUAGCUUUUCAUAGACAACUUGUUGACUAUGUUUAGUCUUGUAGCUUACUCGCUUACGCUAUUUUACCUACGCUUAGGAUGUUGAUGUGAUACUGCGAGCA